rnacentral:lncRNA from 1 species
UCCAGCUCCUAUUGGCUCAGUGGAAGUGUCAAUCAUCUGCUCCUCCAGUGGGGUGAUGAGGGUGUCCUGCUCCUCUGAGGGGGAUCAGCUCCUCUACAGCUGGACUCUGAAUGGAGGUCCACUGAUGGAUGGAAACAGCAGCAUUGAUCUGGAUGAGGGAACUGAUGGAGACAUCAGCUGCAGCGUGAAGAACCACGUCAGUCACGCACAGAAGACCACUAGAGUCCAACCCUGUGCUGCGUCUGUGGUGUUUGUGCUGGUCUGGUGUCUUCAGCUGAUGGUUCUGUUGGGUCUGUUAGGAGGUUUUCACAUCUACAUGAGACACACGUCAGGAAAGAAGCAGGAAGAUCAGAAAGUGAGGAUGAGAAGAUUUAGAGACGGACCUGAACACACAGCAGCAGAUUCAUGAGAGCAGCAGAUGUUCUGUAUUUUAUAUGAUUUUUAACGUGUUUAGACACAGAUGCCUAUUUUUUUAUUCAUUUGUAUGUGGAGUCAGUUUUGAAUUAA